GACAGAGGGUGCAAACGUUGCUCGGAAUCACUGGGCGUAAAGGGCGUGUAGGCGGGAAGGAAAGUCGGGCGUGAAAUCCCUGGGCUCAACCCAGGAACUGCACUCGAAACUUCUUUUCUUGAGUGCCGGAGAGGAAAGCGGAAUUCCUGGUGUAGAGGUGAAAUUCGUAGAUAUCAGGAGGAACACCAGUGGCGGAAGGCGGCUUUCUGGACGGUAACUGACGC
rnacentral:rRNA from 1 species